UACGAAGGGGGCUAACGUUGCUCGGAAUCACUGGGCGUAAAGCGCACGUAGGCGGAUUGUUAAGUCAGGGGUGAAAUCCUGGAGCUCAACUCCAGAACUGCCUUUGAUACUGGCGAUCUCGAGUCCGGAAGAGGAGAGUGGAAUUCCUGGUGUAGCGGUGAAAUGCGCAGAUAUCAGGAAGAACACCCGUGGCUAAGGCGGCUCUCUAGUACGGUACUGACGCUGAGACGCGAAAGCGUGGGGAGCGAACAGG
rnacentral:rRNA from 1 species